rnacentral:rRNA from 1 species
ACCAGACUCCUACGGGAGGCAGCAGUGAGGAAUAUUGGUCAAUGGGCGCGAGCCUGAACCAGCCAAGUCGCGUGAGGGAGGACGGCCCUACGGGUUGUAAACCUCUUUUGCCGGGGAGUAACGGGCGUCACGUGUGGCGCCACUGAGAGUACCCGGAGAAAAAGCAUCGGCUAACUCCGUGCCAGCAGCCGCGGUAAUACGGAGGAUGCGAGCGUUAUCCGGAUUUAUUGGGUUUAAAGGGUGCGUAGGCGGAUCGUUAAGUAGGUGGUAAAUUUGGGGGGCUCAACCUCGUUCCGCCGUUGAAACUGUUGAUCUUGAGUAUCGGAGAGGCAGGCGGAAUUCCUAGUGUAGCGGUGAAAUGCGUAGAUAUUAGGAGGAACACCAGUGGCGAAGGCGGCCUGCUGGACGACAACUGACGGUGAGGCGCGAAAGCGUGGGGAGCAAACAGGAUUAGAUACCCCGGUA